rnacentral:piRNA from 1 species
UAUGCAGAAAACUGUGCACAUUCGAUGUCU